UUUCCGGUUGAUCCUGCCGGAAUUGGAGUCAACGCCGGGGUUAAUCCGAGUGUUUCCUGCUAAAGGAAUCUUUUGUUAGUUAUAAAACCACUAACGAAUAAGGGGUGGGCAAGUUCUGGUGUCAGCCGCCGCGGUAAAACCAGCACCUCAAGUGGUCAGGAGGAUUAUUGGGCCUAAAGCAUCCGUAGCCUGUUCUAUAAGUUUCCGGUUAAAUCCAUUAGCUCAACUAAUGGGCCGCCGAAAAUACUGUAGAACUAGGGAGUGGGAGAGGUAGACGGUAUUCGGUAGGAAGGGGUAAAAUCCUUUGAUCUAUUGAGGACCACCUGUGGCGAAGGCGGUCUACCAGAACACGUUCGACGGUGAGGGAUGAAAGCUGGGGGAGCAAACCGGAUUAGAUACCCGGGUAGUCCCAGCUGUAAACGAUGCAGACUCGGUGAUGCGCUGGCUUGUGGCCAGUGCAGUGCCGCAGGGAAGCCGUUAAGUUUGCCGCCUGGGAAGUACGUACGCAAGUAUGAAACUUAAAGGAAUUGGCGGGGGAGCACCACAAGGGGUGAAGCCUGCGGUUCAAUUGGAGUCAACGCCGG
rnacentral:rRNA from 1 species